UACGUAGGGUGCGAGCGUUGUCCGGAAUACUGGGCGUAAAGCGCUCGCAGGCGGCUCGAUGCGUCGUGCGUGAAACACCCCGGCUCAACUGGGGAGGGUCGUGCGAUACGGUCGAGCUUGAGGCCAGUAGGGGGAUGCGGAAUUCCGGGUGUAGUGGUGGAAUGCGUAGAGAUCCGGAGGAACACCAGCGGCGAAAGCGGCAUCCUGGACUGG
rnacentral:rRNA from 1 species